rnacentral:rRNA from 1 species
UGGGGAAUAUUGGACAAUGGGCGCAAGCCUGAUCCAGCCAUACCGCGUGGGUGAAGAAGGCCUUCGGGUUGUAAAGCCCUUUUGUUGGGAAAGAAAAGCAUUCGGUUAAUACCCGAUUGUUCUGACGGUACCCAAAGAAUAAGCACCGGCUAACUUCGUGCCAGCAGCCGCGGUAAUACGAAGGGUGCAAGCGUUACUCGGAAUUACUGGGCGUAAAGCGUGCGUAGGUGGUUGUUUAAGUCUGUCGUGAAAGCCCUGGGCUCAACCUGGGAAUUGCGAUGGAAACUGGGCGACUAGAGUGUGGCAGAGGGUAGUGGAAUUCCUGGUGUAGCAGUGAAAUGCGUAGAGAUCAGGAGGAACAUCCGUGGCGAAGGCGACCUCGUGGCCAGGCCAACAUGACACUGAGGCACGAAAGCGUGGGGAGCAAACAGGAUUAGAUACCCUGGUAGUCCACGCCCUAAACGAUGCGAACUGGAUGUUGGGUGCAAUUUGGCACGCAGUAUCGAAGCUAACGCGUUAAGUUCGCCGCCUGGGGAGUACGGUCGCAAGACUGAAACUUAAAUGAAUUGACGGGGUCAUAGCUGUUUCCU